CCAUAUGGAUGCUGUACAAGUAUCUAACUUUGAGAAGUGGCUUGGAUGUUGGGUUUUGAUGGACAGCGGAAGGGUUAGGUGUUCAAAAUUUUCAUUCAAAACACCCGAUGCAUUGAAAACACCAAUGCCCAAAAAUUUUUGAUUAUAAUAAUUAAAAUAUAAUAAAUAUAAAUUAGGAUAAGAAGAAUAUCAGUAGCGCUAAUC
rnacentral:lncRNA from 1 species